rnacentral:rRNA from 1 species
CCCAGGGGGGGGGUGCUAUACAUGCAAGUCGAGCGGACAGAUGGGAGCUUGCUCCCUGAUGUUAGCGGCGGACGGGUGAGUAACACGUGGGUAACCUGCCUGUAAGACUGGGAUAACUCCGGGAAACCGGGGCUAAUACCGGAUGGUUGUCUGAACCGCAUGGUUCAGACAUAAAAGGUGGCUUCGGCUACCACUUACAGAUGGACCCGCGGCGCAUUAGCUAGUUGGUGAGGUAACGGCUCACCAAGGCGACGAUGCGUAGCCGACCUGAGAGGGUGAUCGGCCACACUGGGACUGAGACACGGCCCAGACUCCUACGGGAGGCAGCAGUAGGGAAUCUUCCGCAAUGGACGAAAGUCUGACGGAGCAACGCCGCGUGAGUGAUGAAGGUUUUCGGAUCGUAAAGCUCUGUUGUUAGGGAAGAACAAGUGCCGUUCAAAUAGGGCGGCACCUUGACGGUACCUAACCAGAAAGCCACGGCUAACUACGUGCCAGCAGCCGCGGUAAUACGUAGGUGGCAAGCGUUGUCCGGAAUUAUUGGGCGUAAAGGGCUCGCAGGCGGUUUCUUAAGUCUGAUGUGAAAGCCCCCGGCUCAACCGGGGAGGGUCAUUGGAAACUGGGGAACUUGAGUGCAGAAGAGGAGAGUGGAAUUCCACGUGUAGCGGUGAAAUGCGUAGAGAUGUGGAGGAACACCAGUGGC